UAAACAUUAGCUACUUAAUGUCAACUUGGACAUUUUGAACUCGUACCAUGAAAGGUUAAAAGGAAAUCUUUAAGAAAGCACGCAUUUAUUGAAGCACAUUUUCUAUACUGAUUCUAUAUUUAAUUUUUUUACUUUUUUUUUUAGUUUGACACUAAAAAGAUCUUUAAUUAUUUUCUACUAACAAUUCAUAUCCUUAACAAUGGAUCUCAAUAAUCCAAUUAAUAUAUUUGCCGUUCAAGAUAAUAGUAGUAUAAUAAGCCAGACUAUAAUUGAUCAUGUGAUUCCAUUAGAAGAAGAAUAUAGUGUGGAUUUUAAUGUAGAAAAAGAUGAAGACAAAAAAGGUUGAAAUAGAUUCAAACUAUUCUCUGACAAAUUGUACUUAGAUUCAUCGUAUUACACGGUUGAAGGGACGAGGAGUGAAGCAUACAUCCCUACCUCUUUCUCAAAAAAAUGGUUACUUUGAUACAUCUUGUAAUAUAGUUGAAUAUAUUUUCAUAUAUUUUCAAAGGGAGAGAAAAGCAUACACUCUUCCCCCUUUUUAUGAAAAAUGGUUUCAUGGGUGCAUCUUGUCACAUGGUUGGAGAGAUAGAGGGGAGGAGCACACACCCAUUCCCCUAAGUCACUGUAUUGACCACUAGCAUAUGUUGUAAAGUAAUGGAAUAUGAUUUUCAAUUGAGAUUUGUAUCUAUAUUAUAUUCUAAAUAUAUUCAUAUCUGCAUUUA